UGAGGAACAUGACCUUCGGCGGGGGAUAGCCGGCCCAACGGCCGGGUAAUACCGCGUACGACCUUUCGGGGACAUCCCUGGAUGGUGAAAGCAGCAAUGCGCCGAUGGAGUGCCUCGCGGCCUAUCAGCUAGUUGGUGGAGGUAACGGCUCACCAAGGCAACGGCGGGUAGCUGGUCUGAGAGGAUGAUCAGUCACAUUGGGACUGAGACACCGGACCCAAAACUCCGUACGGGGAGCAG
rnacentral:rRNA from 1 species